UGUAAUAAACUCUGUUAUCGCAGCCACCACCCCAACUCUCAUACACUGGCCUUCCAUAGCACCAAUCAUACUGCCUCUCUCGCCCGUAGCCAAGCUGGUAACACGGUCCCCCACCACGCCCCUCAGAACAUUCCGUGCAACAUGCCCUAACAGGUGAGUAACACGGUCCCCCACCACGCCCCUCGGAACAUUCCCUGCAACAUGCCCUAACAGGUGAGUAACACGGUCCCCCACCACGCCCCUCAUAACAUUCCCUGCAGCAUGUCCUAACUGGUGGGUAACACCGAACGGGCUCCGGAGCCGGUGCCGGCGGCGGCGGUGGUGGGGCUGGUGAUGGUUUUGGUUGGGGAGCCGGUGCUGG
rnacentral:lncRNA from 1 species